rnacentral:rRNA from 1 species
CACGUAGGGCGCAAGCGUUGUCCGGAAUUACUGGGCGUAAAGCGCACGUAGGCGGUGGUCUUUGUCAGAGGUGAAAGCCCGGGGCUCAACUCCGGAAUUGCCUUUGAAACGGGACCGCUUGAGUCCGAGAGAGGGUGGCGGAAUUCCUAGUGUAGAGGUGAAAUUCGUAGAUAUUAGGAAGAACACCAGUGGCGAAGGCGGCCACCUGGCUCGGUACUGACGCUCAGGUGCGAAAGCGUGGGGAGCAAACAGG